UACGUAGGGUGCGAGCGUUAAUCGGAAUUACUGGGCGUAAAGCGUGCGUAGGCGGUUCGUUAAGUUCGUUGUGAAAGCCCCGGGCUCAACCUGGGAAUGGCAAUGGAAACUGGCGGGCUGGAGUAUGGCAGAGGGGGGUGGAAUUCCGCGUGUAGAGGUGAAAUUCGUAGAUAUUCGCAAGAACACCAGUGGCGAAGGCGGCUCACUGGCCCGGUACUGACGCUGAGGUGCGAAAGCGUGGGGAGCAAACAGGG
rnacentral:rRNA from 1 species